AAGGGGUUAUGCGCUAUUAACAAGACUUUAGAAAAACCGUUCUUUCGCCUGCUAAGCGAGUAUGGGUGUUGUUAUCCAUCCAGAGUUCGAAUCUCUGUUUCUCCGCCA
rnacentral:tRNA from 1 species